UGAAGCUAAACUCUUAGUUGUGCUCUCUCUACCAUGUUUUUUAAUACCUUUAACAGACAUGUAUAAGUUGUAUAUUAAAAUAAAUCCUCUAAAAUUAAAGAGAGAAUUAGUGGAUAAAUAUAAUAUUUAAUUGACGUAACUCUAAAGGAAUUAUUAUUUUCAGUUUUUUUUACUUCAAAGUAUUAUUGCACUUAUUUAAGGAAAAAAAAACAUAAUCUAAACAAAUUAUGGGCAAAUUCCCCUCGCCCCCUUCUCCAGUUCUUUACCGGGGUUGUAUGUCGCAUUGAGAUCAACAGCACGACACCUAUGAAACAUCCUUAAUCUGAGCUAAGAAACUAUCAAUGAUAAAUAAUUAACCGCAUAGGAAAACAAGAAUUUCGCCCCCGUAGGUCUGCACAUACAUCGAAAAAAGGUCGAAGGAGAGAAAAAGGGAAAAAAUGGGACCCGGGCGUAACGGUAAAACAAUAAAACGCGACGGGCGUCGUGACGGCCUACCCUUAGCCCCCCACCCACCCCACACACUUACCCAGUAAGAAAUUCUUCUGCAAAAUCACUGUUUUAUCAAAUAAUACACAUGAAUAAAAUUGUUUAUUUAAAUUUAAUAUAAUUAUAUAUAUGUAUAUUAAUAAAUAUUUAAUACAAAAACGGUGCUAUUAGAUUGGCUAUAAUGGACGAAAAGUAGUGAUUUUUGAAAAGAACUUCUUACUGGGCAAAUUCUUGGGGUGGGUGGGGGGGUGUACAAGGGUUGUUUUAAUAAAAAACAAUUUGUCUGCAGAAAAUAUAUAUUCAAUAUUUAAUUUUAUAACAUUGCUUAUUUAAAUUUGAUAUAAUUUUAUAUACAAAUAUUUACUAUAAAAACAGUGUUUUUAGAUUGGAUAAUAUGGACGAAAAACAGUAAUUUUUCAAAAGAAUUUCUCACUGGUAAGUUGUGUAGGGUGGGUGGGGGGCUAAGGGUUGUCUAACGAAAAACAAUGUUUCUGCAGAAAAUAUAAUAUGCAAUAUUUAGUUUAUUAUCACUGUUUAUUUAAAUUUGAUAUAAUUUUAUAUACAAAUUUUUACUAUAAAAACAGGGUUUUUAAAUUGGAUAAUAUGGAGAAAAAACAGUGAUUUUUUUAAAGUAAGGAUUUAGUUAAUGAAAAAAAGUUAUAGUUAAAUAAACGUUCAUUUUUGGUUGAACUAUUUAAUGAUUUUAUGCAAAAAAAACGUUUUUCAUUAGGCCUA